UACGUAGGGGGCAAGCGUUGUCCGGAUUUACUGGGCGUAAAGAGCGCGCAGGCGGUUGGAUAAGUCGAAUGUGAAAGCCCCCGGCUCAACUGGGGAGGGUCAUUCGAUACUGUUCGACUCGAAGGCAGGAGAGGGAAGUGGAAUUCCGGGUGUAGUGGUGAAAUGCGUAGAUAUCCGGAGGAACACCAGUGGCGAAGGCGACUUUCUGGCCUGUUCUUGACGCUGAGGCGCGAAAGCUAGGGGAGCAACGGG
rnacentral:rRNA from 1 species